rnacentral:rRNA from 1 species
UAGAACGUCGUGAGACAGUUCGGUCCCUAUCUGCCGUGGGCGCUGGAGAAUUGAGGGGGGCUGCUCCUAGUACGAGAGGACCGGAGUGGACGCAUCACUGGUGUUCGGGUUGUCAUGCCAAUGGCACUGCCCGGUAGCUAAAUGCGGAAGAGAUAAGUGCUGAAAGCAUCUAAGCACGAAACUUGCCCCGAGAUGAGUUCUCCCUGAGACUAUAAGUCUCCUGAAGGAACGUUGAAGACGACGACGUUGAUAGGCCGGGUGUGUAAGCGCAGCGAUGCGUUGAGCUAACCGGUACUAAUGAACCGUGAGGCUUAACCUUACAACGCCGAAG